UCCACAGACUUAUUAUUUUACUGAAAUGAUAGAAUAUUUAAUAUCUAACAUUAUCUGUGGACCAUAGACAAGGAAACACUGCCCAUGCCAUUGUUACAUGCUCUGUGGUCAUAAUAUUGUGCGUCAUGUAUGCGUGCGCAAAAACAGGAUAAUGCUCAGCAAUUUCUGCGACUUAAACCUCAAGAGGUUAGCGUCGCAGCGCUGAUUUUCAGCAUCUCCUUGGGUGACGUAAUGGCGUCCCGCCAGCUUCACUAAUCGCCAGCGAACAAGAAUGCAAAACAACAAAACAACGAAAUGAUCAAGUAGCCGGCAUGACCUGUAAAAUACAGAUAUACCUAUAUUGACCAUAAAUGAUGGGGGAGGCUGCAGCUACGAACAACAACCUGUUGGAUACCUGUGCAUCACCAUGUUGGAAGGCCGCGACCCUUGAGGCCUCGCAUUGGUGGUGGCAGGUUGUUCCAACAGUGAGUCGCAGCAUAUUUGAAGCUCCCCCUGAAGGCCGCUGUUCUGUGCUGAGGGAUGGAUAGUGGAUUUGUGGGGUGGACCUUUGAU